rnacentral:rRNA from 1 species
GACGAAGGGGGCUAGCGUUGUUCGGAAUCACUGGGCGUAAAGCGCGUGUAGGCGGUUGUUCAAGUCAGGUGUGAAAGCCUUGAGCUCAACUCAAGAAAUGCACUUGAUACUGGAUGACUAGAGGACCGGAGAGGAUAGUGGAAUUCCCAGUGUAGUGGUGAAAUACGUAGAUAUCGGGAGGAACACCAGUGGCGAAGGCGACUUCCUGGCCUGUUCUUGACGCUGAGGCGCGAAAGCUAGGGGAGCAAACGGG